CCUCCCACACGCCUUUUUCCCUCUUCCCCACCAAUCAUUCACAAAUUCUUCAUCUUGCUUCGUUUUGGAGUUGGAAACUCAAUAAUCGUUGAAGAAUCGAGCCAUUCGUUGCCUCUACCGAUUGUUUUUCAAGAGAAAGGGUUGUUGUGCGUACGUGAGCAUAAGGAAUGAGGGUUGCUUUUGACUUGCGUAUUGUGUUGUCUAAGCAAGCGAGGGUUGUUGUGCGUACGUGAGCAUAAGGAACGAGGGUUGCUUUUGACUUGCGUAUUGUGUUGUCUAAGCAAGCGAGGUGAGCUUUCUUUUACUAAACUCUUUUACGUUUCAAAAA